GAUGAACGCUGGCGGCGUGCCUAAUACAUGCAAGUCGAGCGAAGCGGGGACGGGUGAGUAACAUGUGGGUAACCUCCCAUAAGACUGGGAUAAAUUCGUGAAACCGGAGCUAAUCCCGAUACUUUUCGCUUGUUCCGCGCUGCAUUAGCUAGUUGGUAAGGUAACGGCUUACCAAGGCAACGAUGCAUAGCCGACCGGAGAGGGUGAUCGGCCACACUGGAACUGAGACACGGUCCAGACUCCUACGGGAGGCAGCAGUAGGGAAUCUUCCGCAAUGGGCGAAAGCCUGACGGAGCAACGCCGCGUGUGUGAUGAAGGUCUUCGGAUCGUAAAACUCUGUUAUUAGGGAAGCGGUACCUAAUCAGAAAGCCACGGCUAACUACGUGCCAGCAGCCGCGGUAAUAC
rnacentral:rRNA from 1 species